rnacentral:sRNA from 1 species
UUAAUGAAAACAAAAGGGUAAAAG